AACCUAACCCUAUGGAUUAUCCAAAGGUAUGGUUGAAGUCUUACACAGUAAAAAACUCCUCGUGAGGAUUGCUGUGUAAGCCCUGUCGGGAAACUGGCAGUGGGUAGCUAAGCUACC
rnacentral:sRNA from 1 species